AGCAGGAAAUGAACUUCUAUUGUGAUGGUGAUGCAUGUUACUUUUUACUUUAAAGAAAAAAGUAUGAACUGUGAAAAGAACAGGAUAGGGAAUCCAUAAUUGGAGAGGCUAGGAACUGAGUAGCUGAAUCCUCCUGGGUCCACAGGUGAUUAGCCACAUGUCUCCUGACUGGCUCUUCCUCCCCAUCUGGUUUCCCCCUGCCACCAGCAUGCCACCAGAGAUGCUGCCCCUAGCUGUAGCAGUUCCCACUUGAGCUGUUCUCAAUCAGGAGGAAAAAGGUGUGCUAAUAACCAACCAGGGAGAAACGGAAUCAGGAGAGAAAACCCAUCCUGCUGCUGGCACAAAUCUCUGAGAGCCAGCACCGAUGCAUUGCUCUGUCCAGGGGCUUCAAGGCCACUGAGGAGGAUGAAAGAAAUCAGUGACCAUUUCUGCAGUUGUGAAAGGCAGCGGGCAUACCACACCUCCUCACUGCCUUCAUGUACUGCCCACUAACUGUGUAUGAUGCAGGCCUUCUCCCAGCCCCUAGCAGAACACGGACCUGCCCUGGCUCUGACUCCCCAGAACCCACAGUCAGGUGACUGGACCUCUUUCCACUCCAAACUGUGGGUGAGAUGGCCAAGUGAUGCAGAGCUGGCCAUCACCAGGGCCAGCCUGCUUUCCAGCCCUCUGGCUUCCCCAUCCAGGAUUUGAAGAGUAAACCCAGAGUUUCCCAAAGCAGUCAAAGGAGCCCUGAGAAGAGUCACAGGGACGGAAGGAAAGUUCCUGCCACAUAAGAAUGGGGCAUAAAAGGCUAUGUCCAAUUCCCCUUAGGAAUCCCAUACACCUGUAGGGAAAAAAAGAGGCUGGCAGGCUGGGAAUGUGCUCACAGAAACAGCCAGCCUUUGGGAGAAUGCCAAGUAGCAAGGGCAUGGACACUCCCUCUUGCCCAGGACAGAGGCACACACCCUGGGGCUGCUAUUCUCCUUUUGUCCUCCCCUCCCCUCCUG
rnacentral:lncRNA from 10 species